UUCGACAGGCUUAACACAUGCAAGUCGAGGGGCAGCGGGGGUAGCGAUACCCGCCGGCGACCGGCGCACGGGUGAGUAACGCGUAUGCAACUUGCCUAUCAGAGGGGGAUAACCCGGCGAAAGUCGGACUAAUACCGCAUGAAGCAGGGGCCCCGCAUGGGGAUAUUUGCUGAAGAUUCAUCGCUGAUAGAUAGGCAUGCGUUCCAUUAGGCAGUUGGCGGGGUAACGGCCCACCAAACCGACGAUGGAUAGGGGUUCUGAGAGGAAGGUCCCCCACAUUGGUACUGAGACACGGACCAAACUCCUACGGGAGGCAGCAGUGAGGAAUAUUGGUCAAUGGCCGAGAGGCUGAACCAGCCAAGUCGCGUGAGGGAUGAAGGUUCUAUGGAUCGUAAACCUCUUUUAUAAGGGAAUAAAGUGCGGGACGUGUCCCGUUUUGUAUGUACCUUAUGAAUAAGGAUCGGCUAACUCCGUGCCAGCAGCCGCGGUAAUACGGAGGAUCCGAGCGUUAUCCGGAUUUAUUGGGUUUAAAGGGUGCGUAGGCGGCCUUUUAAGUCAGCGGUGAAAGUCUGUGGCUCAACCAUAGAAUUGCCGUUGAAACUGGGGGGCUUGAGUAUGUUUGAGGCAGGCGGAAUGCGUGGUGUAGCGGUGAAAUGCAUAGAUAUCACGCAGAACCCCGAUUGCGAAGGCAGCCUGCCAAGCCAUUACUGACGCUGAUGCACGAAAGCGUGGGGAUCAAACAGGAUUAGAUACCCUGGUAGUCCACGCAGUAAACGAUGAUCACUAGCUGUUUGCGAUACACUGUAAGCGGCACAGCGAAAGCGUUAAGUGAUCCACCUGGGGAGUACGCCGGCAACGGUGAAACUCAAAGGAAUCGACGGGGGCCCGCACAAGCGGAGGAACAUGUGGUUUAAUUCGAUGAUACGCGAGGAACCUUACCCGGGUUUGAACGCAUUCGGACCGAGGUGGAAACACCUUUUCUAGCAAUAGCCGUUUGCGAGGUGCUGCAUGGUUGUCGUCAGCUCGUGCCGUGAGGUGUCGGCUUAAGUGCCAUAACGAGCGCAACCCUUGCCACUAGUUACUAACAGGUAAAGCUGAGGACUCUGGUGGGACUGCCAGCGUAAGCUGCGAGGAAGGCGGGGAUGACGUCAAAUCAGCACGGCCCUUACAUCCGGGGCGACACACGUGUUACAAUGGCGUGGACAAAGGGAAGCCACCUGGCGACAGGGAGCGAAUCCCCAAACCACGUCUCAGUUCGGAUCGGAGUCUGCAACCCGACUCCGUGAAGCUGGAUUCGCUAGUAAUCGCGCAUCAGCCAUGGUGCGGUGAAUACGUUCCCGGGCCUUGUACACACCGCCCGUCAAGCCAUGGGAGCCGGGGGUACCUGAAGUCCGUAACCGAAAGGAUCGGCCUAGGGUAAAACUGGUGACUGGG
rnacentral:rRNA from 1 species